rnacentral:rRNA from 1 species
GUGCCAGCAGCCGCGGUAAAACCAGCACCUCAAGUGGUCAGGAGGAUUAUUGGGCCUAAAGCAUCCGUAGCCUGCUUUGUAAGUUUUCGGUUAAAUCCAUAUGCUCAACAUAUGGGCUGCCGGGAAUACUGCAUAGCUAGGGAGUGGGAGAGGUAGACGGUACUCCGUAGGAAGGGGUAAAAUCCUUUGAUCUAUGGAUGACCACCUGUGGCGAAGGCGGUCUACCAGAACACGUCCGACGGUGAGGGAUGAAAGCUGGGGGAGCAAACCGGAUUAGAUACCCGGGUAGUCCCAGCUGUAAACUAUGCAAACUCAGUGAUGCAUUGGCUUGUGGCCAGUGCAGUGCCGCAGGGAAGCCGUUAAGUUUGCCGCCUGGGAAGUACGUACGCAAGUAUGAAACUUAAAGGAAUUGGCGGGGGAGCACCACAAGGGGUGAAGCCUGCGGUUCAAUUGGAGUCAACGCCAGAAAUCUUACCCGGAGAGACAGCAGAAUGAAGGUCAAGCUGAAGACUUUACCAGACAAGCUGAGAGGUGGUGCAUGGCCGUCGUCAGCUCGUGCCGUGAGAUGUCCUGUUAAGUCAGGUAACGAGCGAGAUCCCUGCCUCUAGUUGCCACCAUUACUCUCAGGAGUAGUGGGGCGAAUUAGAGGGACCGCUGCAGUUAAUGUGGAGGAAGGAAGGGGCCACGGCAGGUCAGUAUGCCCCGAAACUCUGGGGCCACACGCGGGCUGCAAUGGUAGUGACAAUGGGUCCCGAAUCCGAAAGGAGGAGGCAAUCCUCAAACGCUACCUCAGUUAUGAUUGAGGGCUGUAACUCGCCCUCAUGAAUAUGGAAUCCCUAGUAACUGCGUGUCAUUACCGCGCGGUGAAUACGUCCCUGCUCCUUGCACACACCGCCCGUC